rnacentral:rRNA from 1 species
CGCACAAUGGGCGCAAGCCUGAUGCAGCCAUGCCGCGUGUAUGAAGAAGGCCUUCGGGUUGUAAAGUACUUUCAGCGGGGAGGAAGGGAGUAAAGUUAAUACCUUUGCUCAUUGACGUUACCCGCAGAAGAAGCACCGGCUAACUCCGUGCCAGCAGCCGCGGUAAUA